rnacentral:lncRNA from 1 species
GGGCCCCAGGAGGCGAGUCUGAGUGGAACCUGGCUGGGGUAGGCUGAAAGGUGACUUCGACGCUCUUCUGAGGCCUCAGACGUGUGUGAUGACUGCCCUGUAGAAUCAGUGCUGUGACCCCGAGUAACAACGCGCGCUUGAGUUGGUAUAAACUCCUGAAGAGUGUAGUCCUGCAAUUUACAAGAAAAAGUUAAGUGUAAAAUAGCCUCAGGCAUGUCCUUCAGGAGGGAUUCCAGAGGCAUUGUUAUAGACGAUGACAGCUCUGUGUGUGUUAUUGCCACUGAAGACCUUCCAUGGGACGCGAUGUGGAGCUGGAAGUCAGUGAUAUUGAUGAUCCUGACACAGUCCUAGGAUAAGGAUCUUUAACUUUAUUAGCAGCUACUGAGCUACAGAAUACAAACCAACUGAAAACAUUAAAGAAAGGCUUCCUGAAACAGCUCUUCAAACCUCUGGGAAAGAUCAUCAAAGUCAAUGUCUUCAGAUGCUGAGGUGCUGGCACCAGCAAAUGCAGUUGGUAGUGUGUCUGGCACAGAUGGCAACUCUGGUAGGACAAAGUUGUCAUAGUUAUCCGCAGGUCAGGAAGGAAGCUUUGCAGAGGCUUCUGGCUUGGGUCCAGGACCAACAAUCUGUGCAGAAGAGAUAUUCUUAUCAGCAUUAAUGUCAUCUACAGAUUCAUAUGAUGGGGGAGUUGCUGGUAUCUGAGAUGGAUAAAUAUUGGGAA